rnacentral:tRNA from 1 species
GUUUCCGUGGUGUAGUGGUUAUCACACCCGCUUAACACGCGGAAGGUCCCCGGUUCAAUCCCGGGCGGAAACA